rnacentral:tRNA from 1 species
GGAGAUUUAGCUCAGUGGUAGAGCACUUGCCUAGCAAGGCCCUGGGUUCAGUCCCCAGCUCCG